GACCAGGUAGCGUUCUUGUUACGACUUUCAUUCCCAGUCAUGAAUCCUACCGUAGCAAUGCCCUUUAUAAGCUUCAUCCAUUUGUUCCACUGAGUAUGUGUACACCCGGGAACGUGUAUUCAAUGCGACAUUGAUCCGACUUCGAUUACUCGCGGGUUGGCGACUCUUCUUGUCUUGACUCACAAGGAUGUGUGAAGCUCCUUGGCUCCAUAAAGCGGGUUACGAGGACUUGACGUCAUCCCACUCCUUUCUCCCUUCCACAUGCGGGGUUUGGGUCAACGGCAGCCUGAUAGAGUGCCUUUCGGCCCACGACAAGGGUUGUUGCGGGACUUAACCCAACAUUUCACGAUGGUUAAUUCCCAAAUCUUCUCUCUCGGGACUCUUGAGACAUGUCAGGCAGUAUUUUUCGCAUCGAAUUAAUCCAUCAUCUCACCGCGGUCCCUGCGACGUAUCUAAAAAAGUCACUCACGCGUUAGCCGCGUUACCAUGCCGAAGGCCCCAACAGCUUGCCGAGGUCAGCCUUAGGCGGAUUACCAGGGUAUCUAAUUCUGCUUGCCUCGACGUAGCUUUCGUAAAGUGGCGAGUGCGUCAGUGUUCACCUAGGAGGCCGCCUUCGCCAUCGGCGUUCCUCCCGCUAGUCUGUUACGAGGGAUCACCUCCUCACUCUAAGCCGGCAGUUAAAAAUGCAGUUCCAAAGUUACUCUGGGAAUUUCACAUCUUUCUGAACGCAGCCAUACGCUUUACGCCCAGUGCUGAUUAACGCCACCCUUACGGUUGGGCAGUUAGCUGGUGUUACGGGCCGUCAGCAUCGGGUAUUAUUCUGUGCCGUUUUCCCGCCCUUCAAAGUGCCUGAAAUGCACAUCGUGGAUGAAAGGAUCAGGGUUUCCCACAGUCCUGCAACUCCCACUGCCUUUCCCCGUGGACGUCCGGGGCCGCGUCUCAGUCCAGUGCGGUGCUGGUCGUCCAACCAGCUACGGGAUUUUGCGAGCUCGUUAUCCCACCAACUACACCUGAUACGCGGCCGCCUAAUAUGCGAAGCCUCCGAACUUCUCGCUUUCCCCGAAGGGCGGCGGUAUUAGUUACGCUUUCGCGUAGCACUUCGUCGUUCCGAUACACACACCCAGCGGCCAGAUCGGUCUGUGCUGACUUCAGCGGGGGCAUCGCGCCAGUGGUCGAUCGAGCGAGCCAACCCCCGGUUACUCCUUCGGGAGCAUCAGUGCGUAACAGAGAGUUCGAUUAUGGCUCAGAUUGAACGCUGGUGGAUGCUUACACAUGCAAGUCGAACGGCAGCACGGACUUCGGUCUGGUGGCGAGUGGCGAACGGGUGAGUAAUGUAUCGGAACGUGCCUAGUAGCGGGGGAUAACUACGCGAAAGCGUAGCUAAUACCGCAUACGGCCCUUCGGGGAAAGCGGGGACUCGGGCCUCGCACUAGAGCGGCCGAUAUCGGAUUAGCUAGUUGGUGGGGGUAACGGCUCACCAAGGGCGACGAUCCGUAGCUGGUUUGAGAGGACGACCAGCCACACUGGGACUGGAGACACGGCCCAGACUCCUACGGGAGGCAGCAGUGGGGAAUUUUUGGACAAUGGGGAAACCCGAUCCGUUUGGUCCCGCGUGUGCGAUGAAGGCCUUCGGGUUGUAAAGCACUUUUUGGCAGGAAAAAGAAACGGCACGGGAUAAUACCCCGUGCAACUCCGACGGUACCUGCAGAAUAAGCCACCUGCCAACCACGUGCCAGCAGCCGCGGUAAUACGUAGGGUGCAAGCGUUAAUCGGAAUUACUGGGCGUAGCGUGCGCAGGCGGUUCGGAAAGAAAGAUGAAAUCCCAGAGCUUAACUUUUGGAACUGCAUUUUUAACUACCGAGCUAGAGUGUAUUGAGGGAGGUGGAAUUCGCGUGUAGCAGUGAAAUGCGUAGAUAUGCGGAGGAACACCGAUGGCGAAGGCAGCCUCCUGGGAUAACACUGACGCUCAUGCACGAAAGCGUGGGGAGCACAGGAUUAGAUACCUGGUAGUCCACGCCCUAAACGAUGUCAACUAGCUGCUGGGGCCUUCGGGCCCCGGUAGCGCAGCUAACGAAGUUGACCGCCUGGGAGUACGGUCGCAAGAUUAAACUCAAAGGAAUUGACGGGGACCCGCACAAGCGGUGGAUGAUGUGGAUUAAUUCGAUGCGUAACGCGAAAAACCUUACCUACCUGACAUGUCUGGAAUCCCGAAGAGAUUUGGGAGUGCUCGCAAGAGAACCAGGAACACAGGUGCUGCAUGGCUGUCGUCAGCUCGUGUCGUGAGAUGUUGGUUAAGUCCCGCAACGAGCGCAACCUUUGCUGCCGGUUGCUACGAAAGGGCACUCUAAUGAGACUGCCGGUGACAAACCGAGGAAGGUGGGGAUGACGUCAAGUCCUCAUGGCCCUUAUGGGUAGGUCACACGUCAUGGCAACGGUCGGACAGAGGGUCGCCAACCCGCGAGAGGGGGAGCCAAUCCCAGAAACCCGAUCGUAGUCCGCAGUUCGCAACUCGACUGCGUGAAGUCGGAAUCGCUAGUAAUCGCGGAUCAGCAUGUCGCGGUGAAUACGUUCCCGGGUUCUGACACACCGCCCGUCACACCAUGGGAGUGGGUUUUUACCAGAAGUAGUUAGCCUAACCGUAAGGAGGGCGAUUACCACGGUAGGAUUCAUGACUGGGGUGAAGUCGUAACAAGGUAG
rnacentral:misc_RNA from 1 species